rnacentral:piRNA from 1 species
UAUCUAUUAGGAGAUUGUGCUUCUGG